UUACAACAUGCAAAGUGUUUUUCAACUGUGUAAAAAUACACAGGAACUUUGUGUUUUUUUUUCUAUUAGAAGUACCUCUUAAUGUAGGUGGAGGCCGAGGAGGUUUAAACGUGCUGCCUUGUGCCAAAGUAUCCACAAUCCAGCUGAGAGCAUUGGAGCAAUACUCCAUCUAAAGAGAGGCAAAAUGUUACUGAACGUAAGAAAACUGUCUUUCCCUCAGGGAUCUGUCCAAAGAUGUGCAAAUACGGCCUGUAGAAAACCCGGCGGAAGAUGCGAUCUAGGCGAGGGUCGUAAGAAUAAAGCAAAGCCUGGUUGGCAACUCCAUAUGCCAUGAGCCACACCCCCAGGAAGAAGAGAAAGAAGAAAAUAUCUUUCAUCUGAAGAGGAGAAAUCAUUUGUUUCAUCAUUCUACUGCUAUUAUCACACAUAAGGACAUUAGUGAAAUGUCAGCUUAAUGGCAUUGUUUUAAUAUUUCUCACCAUCUUGCCAACAAUGAUGAUUUUUGGUCCCAGCUGUUUGUGAAUGGCAAAGAUGUGAAUGAGGCGGAGGGUGAACACCAUGUAGUCCACACACAGGACGUCCCGGCCAAAUCCAUACGACCAGUGGAACAUCCUAAAAAGGCAGAGUAAAUCAAAUAAGACGGAGUAACAGCAACACCCAGUGGCCAGCUUGUAAAAUAACAGCACUACUGAAAUCAUGGAGUGUGCGCACAUAUCAAAUUCACAGGACUCUGGAAUUUAAUAAAUUGCAGACAUUUUUUCCAUGCCCCUAAAUAAUC